rnacentral:rRNA from 1 species
AUUGAACGCUGGCGGCAUGCCUUACACGUGCAAGUCGAACGGUAACAGGUUAAGCUGACGAGUGGCGAACGGGUGAGUAAUGUAUCGGAACGUGCCCAGUCGUGGGGGAUAACUGCUCGAAAGAGCAGCUAAUACCGCAUACGACCUGAGGGUGAAAGCGGGGGAUCGCAAGACCUCGCGCGAUUGGAGCGGCCGAUAUCAGAUUAGGUAGUGGGUGAGGUAAAGGCGCACCAAGCCGACGAUCUGUAGCUGGUCUGAGAGGACGACCAGCCACACUGGGACUGAGACACGGCCCAGACUCCUACGGGAGGCAGCAGUGGGGAAUUUUGGACAAUGGGCGCAAGCCUGAUCCAGCCAUGCCGCGUGCGGGAAGAAGGCCUUCGGGUUGUAAACCGCUUUUGUCAGGGAAGAAAAGGUUCUGGCUAAUACCUGGGACUCAUGACGGUACCUGAAGAAUAAGCACCGGCUAACUACGUGGCAGCAGCCGCCGUAAGAC